UACAGAGGGGGCAAGCGUUGUUCGGAAUUACUGGGCGUAAAGGGCGCGUAGGCGGCCUGUUAAGUCGAACGUGAAAUCCCCGGGCUCAACCCGGGAACUGCGUCCGAUACUGGCAGGCUUGAAUCCGGGAGAGGGAUGCGGAAUUCCAGGUGUAGCGGUGAAAUGCGUAGAUAUCGGGAGGAACACCAGUGGCGAAGGCGGGCACCUGGGCCGACACUGACGCUGAGGCGCGAAAGCUAGGGGAGCAAACAGG
rnacentral:rRNA from 1 species